AGACCUACUGCUUGUCGGUAUAUUGAUGUGUGAACGACUGGAAAGCCUUUAAUCCAUAAUUCAUUUAUCAACACAUGCGUAAUUUUAUACAUAACAACAUGCCAUAAACCAACAACAAGAUGAAGAUGUGCCGGUUGACCCCGAUAGUGACUCAACUAUUUCCUUAAAGGUCGAAGUUUCUUUGUGAUAACGGAUACAUCAUACAGCAGCAUCGCAUCCAUUCAUAUUUAACACUGACAUCAAUAUAGUUUCACGUGAAUGUGAGAUGACAUCUGAUAUGCUCUUACUGUAAUCUGUUUGAUUAAUUGUUGUAAUUGAUGAUGAUCUGAAACUGAUGUAAGGCAUCUUUUUCAACUGAGACGGUUGAGGAGCAUUUGCCUUGUAGAGAAAUCAACAUGGGGAACAAGCAAUCUUGUAGCUGCAUCUACAGCCCAAAAUCGAGAAAACCUGAGGAUGCAUACCGUCCAGCGGUAUCUGUUCGCAGUGAGGAGGUUGGAUUGGAAGCGAAGAACCAAAGUGUUUCUUCUCUACAUGGAGUACCUCACAUCAGUGAUCGAGAGAUCCUCCCAGAAGACAAUGUUGGCGAUCCAUCAAUCCACCCGCUGACAAAACCGAUAUUUUCCUCAAGGUCACAGAGUGAGAUAAAUAGAAACAACAGAAACAGAAGAAGGAGUCAAUACGACAACAGGAUCUUACAACUUCAGAACCCGCCACCCACGGCAAUGAAAAAGUUCAGCUCAUGUUCAACAAUAUUUAUAGACGAUUCCACUGUGAGCCAGCCCAACCUGAAGAAUACGAUCAAAGCUGUAGCGUAUGCCAUCUACUUUCAUAUAAAAAACCGGGAGAGUAAUCGCACCAUUGAGAUCUUUGAUGAAAAGCUCCAUCCCUUGUCUAGGGAAAUAGUUCCAGAGGACUAUGAUUCUCGAGACCCGGAACACAAGACGAUCUACCGAUUUGUAAGAAAUCUGUUCAGUGCGGCCCAGUUGACCGCGGAAUGUGCAAUAGUGACCUUGGUUUAUUUAGAACGACUCCUCCACUACGCGGAGAUUGGUAUUAUGCCAGCAAACUGGAAGAGGAUCGUGCUGGGAGCCAUCUUGUUGUCCUCCAAGGUGUGGGAUGAUCAAGCAGUAUGGAACGUCGACUACUGUCAAAUCCUCAAGGACCUUGCUGUGGAGGAUGUGAAUGAGUUGGAGCGUCAGUUCCUGGAGCUUUUACAGUUUAACAUCAAUGUACCAUCCAGUGUGUACGCCAAAUACUACUUUGAUCUGAGAGCUCUGGCCGACGCUAACGAGCUGAGCUUCCCACUGGAGCCCCUCAGCAAAGAAAGAGCAGAAAAACUGGAGGCUAUGUCCAACGACGGUACGAUAUCAACACUGUGGCAGAAACCAACUUUACUACGGUCCAACAGCCUUGACGGCAUGACAACGAAUCCCAGACUUAGUGUCGCCAUUCUGUCAUGACAGCUGCAGGGUCAAGGUCAUUGGAUGGGUGACAGCUGCAGGGUCAAGGUCAUUGGAUGGGAGACAGCUGCGGGGUCAAGGUUACGGAAUGGGUGAUAACUGCAGGGAUCACUGACCGGGUGAUAACUACACAGUUUACUGGAUGGGGGUGCUGUUGAUUCGGACCUCAAAUCAAAACAUUAGCUUUGUUGUCAGCAUAUCGUUACAGGAAUUAUAAUUUUGAUGAAUAUAUCUUUUUUUGCAAGAAAUACCUCACAAUUUUUUCUUGUGAGGUUUUUAUAUUCCUCGCGUAUCAGGAAUGAUUAUUUUCAUGAAUAUUUUUUUUUUUUCAAAAAUGUCUCUCACUAUUUUUUGUCAGUCCAAAUAUUCCUGAUUGUAAACAAAUUGGGAAGCAAUACAUGCAAUAAUGUACUUGAUCAGAUAUUUGUGAGGAAUCUGGCAAAGAGUUUUUUUUUUUAAGAAAUACGCUAAAAGUAAUACAGAAUUUGACCUAUUGACAUUUUUAUGCAUGUAAUAUGUAAAUGUAAAUGUUCUUUUUAUUUGGAAAUUCUUUGAAUUUAUUUUUCAGAUUCAACACAUUUUUCUAUACAAGUCCAAAGUUGAUAUACAUUAACAUAUUAUAUUUCAGCAAACUAAAAACUUAUGUGUCAAUUACAUGCAUCAACUAGUAACACUCCCUGACUGAUCAAGAUUUCCCAAUAAGCUGUGCAUGUUUGUGAGUCUUUGUUCUAUGUACUUAGUCUGAUAUAUGUAAUAAGUUGGACGCAUAAUUGUAAAAAAAACAGCUUGUUUAGUUAGUAGCAAUGUACAAACACUUUUUCAGUGUUGAAACAACUGUCUCCCAUGUCAAUCCCGUAAGAUAAUAUUAAUGUUUAUAUAUAUACAUAUAAAAUCAUGUACAUGUCAAAAAGAAGGGGUCAUAAUCAUAAUUGUUUUAUAUUUGUGGAUCAUGCCUUUUAUAAAAGGGUGUUAUGACCAGUAUGUCGAUCUGUGUCUCUGUAGUAAUCAUUUUUAUCCGAAUUGCUAUCAUUGGAGUUCAUCUUUUUAUACAUUGAUCAUUGUGAGGAUUCAUUUUCAUUGACAUAUUCUUUUCACAUUUAGGAUUAAAUUUAACCUAUGAUGAUAUUUCAUAAAUCAAAUUCUUAAAAUAAUGUUUGUUAUGAUACCAUGGACCGAUCCCACCUGUCGGAUGUAUAUUAGGAUAUUUUCACGUCGGCUUACCUGGAUAUUUUCACGUCGGCUUACCUGGAUAUUUUUACGUCGGCUUACCUGAUUAUUUUUUCCCCUCAGCUAUUUUUGUCAUUAAUUUCUCAUUCCUGUGCGGAUAUAAGAGAACAGUCCAGGGUGAGAAAGGUUGUAAGAAAUUUCCAUCUUGCACCCCGUAUCAUGUUUCGUAACAUCACCAUGGAACAACAAAGACAUGACGGCACAAAAUCAGAUAAUUCUGAAGCUGGAAUGCAGAAAUUGUGACGACUUUUUGUUGUUUCUAAAAAAAAUCCAUAAAUUGGAAAGAAAAGUUCCUCUUUCAUGCCUUGGGGUGUAGGAUUGGAAAAUUCCACUCUUUUGGAUUUUUUUAAAUUGGUGUAAAACCCUUGGCAAGCCUCAGGUUUUACCCAAUAUUAGAAAAACUCUUGGAUGGAAUGUCCCUAUCCUACACCCCUGGGCAUGACAAAGUCUCAUAAUUUUGCUUGACAGGAGCAGUGUUUAUACAGUGGAACUUUGUUGUUGACAUCACGGAAAUUUAAGAUGAAUCCGAUGAUGCUGUGUUGAGAUAAAAUGCAGUAGGACUUAAAGCGACUCAUAAUUAGAAAUCAGUUCAUAGGAAUUACACUGCUGUAGGAGUCCUUCUUUUAGCCUACACACCUUUUAGUGUAUUAUCUAUUAACAGAGUCGGGCAUUGAUGACAAACACAAAACAUGCAGUAGAAAACUGUAGUCAAACACUUCCAUUCGCGCAAUUAUAAUUUAGCCCAAUGUUUAAUGCGUGAAAAAACCGCUAAAAUAUGAAAAGUGCUAAAAUAUGUACAUUACAGUCUAAUAUUUACAGAACUUUAAAAAUUAAUGGGACAAUAGAAAUUUCUAUGCACAAACUUUUUCUGUGUUUAGGUAAUGGUACUUCAGAAAGUUUAGAUUUGAACAGAAAUCAUGAAUUAUUUCAGUUUUGGAAUAGAUUGGUUUUGGUACCUAUGCACCAAACCAUCAUGAGAAGCUAGUUUAAUACACGGGAGGGUAAAUGCUGUUGUGACAGUCUCCAGGUACAUAAUUGUAAUUAAUUAUUUAUAGGUUGUCAGUAUAACGUUGUCCUUAUCAAAAAUCAUUUGAAUGUCGGUAAGACAGGCCAGUGAUACACAUGUCAUGUAUUCAGUUUGACAAGUGUGUUAAGACCAGUGGGAUACCAAUGAAUUACCUCCCUUUGUCAAAAUGUUAGUUCAUUGGCUUUCCAUUGGUUCUGUCAAUUUAACCAUUUAGAACAGUUUCAUUGAAAAUCAUUCGUCAAAUGCCAUGAAAUGCAGCAUUUAAAACACUUAACAGUCACAGCUUGUCGUGGAACACUGAAACUAAACUCCCAAACCUGAUAUCUAGGGGUGGUUCAACCUAUGUUUCAGUAUUAGGGGGGGGGGUUAAAAAAAAAAAAAAAAAAAAAAAAAUUGCCAUACAUUGUUCUAUCUUCCUUAAGGAGAAACUCUGAUAAAAUCAAAAAUUAGAGAAAUGAUCUGUGAGGGGCAUUUUUUUUUUUAAAUUCAGUUAGUCUCCCCCAUCUUAUUCAACUGAUGUUGUGGGGGUUUUUUUUUUUGGGGGGGGGGCUCAAAUUAAGCAAAAAUAUUACUCUAUACGAGUAUUUCUGAUGACAGUUUAUAUUUCUUGUGAAUUCAAGAAAUUCAAUUUAAUUAAGUGACAAAUUGCUCGCGGCAAUUUUCAUCAUAUUGAAGUUUAUUUUCAUCCUUUGUUUCAGUACUACUUACUUUGUUUGACAAAUUAUUCAGAUAUUGAAAAAUUGUAUGAUUUAUUUAUGUUUAUGUAGUGAAUUAUUUCACAUUUCAAAAACAAGUACUUAAUAUUUAUUUUAACAGACAGUAUCCUUAUAGCUGGAUUAAUAAUGUAGCUUUUGUGUUCGCUGUGUUUGAUUAACUGUCAUCAUAUAUCCUUUCAAUUCUUGCCAAUUAAUUUUUGCUGCUCUUAUCCUCUGUUUAUUUAUGACUGUUACCCUUUUCCAAAGCAUAGCUAAAAUAUCAAAAUAUCGAUGCUGAAUGUGAAUCGUUGAAAAUUUCAACAUCUAUAAUUCAAUCAUUUAAAAAAGUUUGUUUUUAAAUACUUUUGUCAUAAUAUAUUUUUAUCAUAGAAUGAACAAGAAAUAAAAACAGUUAAUUUUGUAUUAUCAAUUGAUACCAAAAUAACCUUAUAAAAUGAUAAAAUAUUGACUAUCGAUCUUAGAAAUGGCAUUACAUGUGUCUUACAUUAUAACCUUAUUUUCUCCCUUUGUGGUAUAUAUUAGAAAAAAAAAGAGUUUUGGGUAUAAUGAUCUUAAAAAAAAUAACACAACAACAUAAAAUCUCGUCAAUGAUAUAGACGUCAACAAAUAUUGAGAAAUUUGUUAAACGAGGUUAUAAUGCUUCCUGAUAUUGUGUAAACACAACAAUUUUGUUGCCUUCUUGAAGAGUUCCAUGUUCUUAAGAUAAUUCUUCUGACAAUAUUAAAUUCCUCAUUUCAUGAUUUGUAAACUUUGGGAAGCAUUUGAUCUGUACACCCUGAGUCUUGUUUCUAAUCCGUGUUUGUUUUGGAAACUUCUCUCGAGUUAGAUUUGCCCGCUGUGUUCAGUAUAUCACACAGAGAUAUCAGCAUACCGACAUCCGACAUAAGUCUCUAGAAAUGUUCAAGCUUAUUUUCUUUGCAGCAGAAGAGUUUCCAGAGUUAAAUAUUUACAAAGAAUUGUACAACUCAAUAUCUUAGAGGCAAAUGGUCAUUGUCUUUCUUAAAUGGGGGGGGGGGAGAUAGUCUGAGACUCCAAAUAUCCAGAUGGACUAGUAGUUCUUAAAACCACUAGCCUGAUUGAAAAGUCAAAAUUUGAUGUUACUUUGUUGAAUAAUAUUGGGUUGGAGAAAUUGGAAAGUACUUGCCUGAAUGGCUAGUGGUUUUUAAAAUUAACUUGUAGCCCUUAAGAUUUACUAUGACUCUUCUGAUUUGCAUGCCUAGCAGUGAGGCUUCUUUUUAUACAAAUGACAGAGAAAAUGUACCAAUAUGAUUGAUUGGCUUUGAGAAGCUUAUUUUUAAAGAGAAAUCUUUUUUAAGAAGGCAGGUUGGGGAGUUUGUAGGCCACAUGUUAAUUGUGGGUAAUGUAUGUGAUCUUUUUGAGGAAGCUAGUCCUGGUACAUUCUGUACAUGUACUUAAUUGGAUAAUUACACGAAGACUAGGGUGUAAUGUCUUUUUAAUAUACUGUAUGUUGGCUAAUUUUUGUGGUACAUUUAGUUAUAUUUUCACAGUCAUAUUGUAGUAAUUGGAAACUUCUAAACAACACUUUCGCUAAAACAUAAAUUUUAGAAUAUGUUGCGAUACCCCCUUUUCAUUUAUGCAUGAAUUAAGCUUUUUUUUGCUUUGAGCUUUAAAAUACCAGGUAACACAUCGCUGAUUCAGCCCGUUAUACAGCAAAUAGAUAAAACCUGUCUAAACCAAACAUUGGACUUAUUUUUUCCUCAGAAUAUACAGGUAAAUUUAGAAGUAUAUAUAGCAGGAUAUAUAGUGGGACCUAUUUGCAGAUCUAGGUCAUUUCUGGAUUAGACAGGGUCCAUUUGAGACUGGCUUCAGGGAUUUAAAAAAAAAAAUGGCUUUGUAUUUAGUGUAAAUUUAUUGUAAGAUAAUGUAUAAACAAAAUGAUAGAAUAUCACUGUACAUUUACUGCUUUAUAGGAUUUACUUUAGAACAGCACUGCACAUUGAAGCUUUGUAAUGGAGAUGUUGAACGCUUGUGAUAGGUGUAAGAUUUCUGUGUUCUGAUUGGUUACUGAUAAAAUACGUAGUUACCGGCUGAUCCAAGAUCAUGCCCUCCCAGUCUGAUAAAAUAUGUAGUUACAGGCUGGUGGAAGGUCAUGCCCUCCCAGUCUGAUAAAAUAGGUAGUUACCGGCUGAUAGAAGGUCAUGCCCUCCCAGUCUGAUAAAAUACGUAGUUACAGGCUGAUCGAAGGUCAUGCCCUCCCAGUCUGUUAAGGUCAUGCCCUCCCAGUCUGAUAAAAUACGUAGUUACAGGCUGAUCGAAGGUCAUGCCCUCCCAGUCUGAUUAGGUCAUGCCCUCCCAGUCUGAUAAGGUCAUGCCCUCCGUCUGCAAGAUGGAGUCAUUGUGAUAUAAGUAUUUCUACACCUUUAUAUAUUAUCAUGUAUAAUAAUAUCUGUUAUGACGUAGGUGUAUGACUGGAAUAUUUUUAUAUUGUCAUGUAUUAUUGUGUAUUCUUGUGAAGGACCACUGUCAUCAGUAGAUAUUAUAUACACUGAAGACGCCCAGCAGUGUCAAAUGUCAAUGUUGAAAGUUGAUGUGCUUUUGGUGCUCAAUUGAACCACCAUUGCUGUCAGUUUGCUUAACAUCCAUACCUUAUUUCUCUGAGAAUUAAGUAAAUAUCCAUUUGUUUAAGAAGUUAUUGCAGUGUUAAGGAUAGAUAAACAUUUUCUUAAGAAAACAUUGAAAGUUUGAAAGUUAAGCUUAACAUCUUUUUCUAGAUAAAAGUCUGGAUUUCAGCCCGUCAUGUCAUGUAAACAACUACCUUUGUAUGGCCAUUGGUUAAAAGACAUCACUGGCAUAAGUAGUUGUAGCCAAUAAUUGGUCACUAUUUAUGAUUUUUGUCUAUCUUAAGAAUGAAACAACAUGUAAAGAACACUGCAGAUAUUACAAUCUGAAUUUGUGUGUUUUGAUACUUUUUCUGAAAAGAAAUUGAAAUCGGUGUUUGAGUUGAACGUCUUGUGUAAUAAAACACACAUGUACUUUUGCUAGUGAAAGACUACUUGCCUCCUACAUUAAGGAUGUAUGCUGCUCAACAUCCAACUCCUGUGAUUUGUGUGAGAGUAAUCUCCCCUUGCUCUGUUCGAGAAUCAUGGAUGUAUAAACUGUUAGGAUUUCAAACUUGUCACCAAUUAAUGAACAGGCUUCAAUUACUGUUGAUAAGACCUUUUAUACAUUUUCUAUUAUUUUGGAAUUCUUUUUGAUAAAAGUUGCUUUACAUGUGAUUAACUUGUGUAUGGUUGAGUACAGGAUUCCUAAAAUAGAUUCCUCGAAAUUAAGCAGAAAAAAGACUAAUAUAGUGAAUACACAUUUGAUUCCGGAGUUAUAAACCAGCAUAUUCUGAUAUAAUUGUCAAGUUUAGAAAAACAGUCUUUUUAUUAGGCAAUAAUAAAAUUGGAUGAGUUUAAUAAGAUUGAUGUGCAUCAUGAAGGAUUGUGUUGGUGAAGAACUGGAUACUUGAAUACUGUUGACCAAUGGUCAGUUUGUGAGUUAUAUUGACAUUUUUUGAUGCGAGGCAGUUGGUGUACAGUACAUGUAUGUUUCUCCCAAAGAUCUGAUCUGUUUUAUACUGUAUGCAAUUGUAUGAUCAAAAAACGGAAAUAGCAAUUUUCCUUUUGCUGGUAAUUCGACUCUUUUGCAGAUUUGUUCGUGACUGGCCUUCAGUGUUACAUUAGUCCGGAGAAGGACUGUAACAAGAAGCUGUAAUCCACUAAUAUCUACAAUUGUCUCCAGCAGUGCUUAAAAUGUUAAGAUUUUGAAUCUCUUUGUGAAUAUUUUUAAUGUGUAAUAAAUAUAUGAUGUCCGACCCACAGGGCGUGCGGAGAGGUGGUAUAAUGUAGAAAUUAAGUGGGAAGGUUGAUGUUUUUAAUCAUAUGCUCAGCCUUGUAACCUAUUAUAAGAUUAGAAACAUGCAUGCUCAUUUUUAUUGACUUAUAACUUACUGUUUAGCAGGCUCCUAUAUCCAAAAGUGCAUGUCAAGUAUUAUAUUACUUCUAGUCGUAAAUUUGUGAUGUUUUUUUAUUUCAAACUAAAGGUUGUGCUAUGAUGUGAACAAACUGUACAUGUAUGAUACGGAAAUACAAUACCUGGGACAUUUCAUGGUCAGAUCUAAACUGGUAGCAGGAAUUAGGGAUCAAAGAUGGUGGAUUUCAAUUCCAAUUUGAAAGUGAAAUAUGGACAAAUUCACUUUCAAAUUGCAUGCCUGGAGAAAAUUUUAUUUUAUCAACAUUCUAAAUUAAAACUCCUGCCAAAAGGUUCUACUAUGCAUUAGAAACUUUUCUCUGGCAUGACUUAAAUAUUUCUGUAAAGAAAACAAUACCUUGCUUCCCUUUAUGAAAAAAAUAUAAAAGAUAAAAUUAAUAAAAUAAAAUAAACAACAGAGUUCUGAGUGUAAACAUUCAGCAGGGCUGGACUGGGAAUUAUUCAUCCCUAAAUAUUUAUAAUGGACUUGCCCAGUCUCUGAUUUUGUCAGGUUCAAAUGUGACUUUAGGGGUGAAAGGGUUGAGUUAUUCAUAAAACGAAAUUAAGGGGAGGUAACUGUAGCAUGAAAUACCACAGUACAGUGGGACUGGGAUCCUUAAGUUGAAGACAGUUCCGUGACCACAGCACUUGAUGUUUUACCCCAUGGUUUGAUGAAAGCCUACAGUCAUCGUCAUAUUUCAUAUCGGUAUUUGAGAAAAGAGAUAUAAAGGAUAAAUUAUAGCAUUCUGAAUUUGGGAGUUUUAUUAUUUCAUUUGAAAUUUGAAAAUUCUCCUCUUUUUUUAGGUCACCUGAGCUUUGCUCAAGUGAUCUAUU